UAGGGGGCAAGCGUUGUCCGGAAUCAUUGGGCGUAAAGCGCGUGUAGGCGGCUCGAUAAGUCUGCUGUGAAAGUUCAGGGCUCAACCCUGAAAUGCCGGUGGAAACUGUCGAGCUAGAGUCCGGAAGAGGCGAGUGGAAUUCCUGGUGUAGCGGUGAAAUGCGCAGAUAUCAGGAGGAACACCAAUGGCGAAGGCAGCUCGCUGGGACGGUACUGACGCUGAGACGCGAAAGCGUGGGGAGCAAACAGG
rnacentral:rRNA from 1 species